AUGGAUAUUCUGAAGAGUUCUUACUACAUUCGGUGUAACAAGUAUUUAAGUUUUUAUGGGCAUUGGCCUUACCAGAAUGUCAUAGUUAAAAUUCGCAAUCAAAUUGUAAUAAUGCUGCUAAUCAUGUCUAUAUUUUUGCCACAAUUCAUGAAAAUGAUUGAAAUACGACACUACUUUCACUACUUUAUACUAAGCUUACCGUCACUGCUAUAUUAUACACAAUUUAUAGCGAAGAAUGUGUUUGCUUUCGUUGGACGAAAACAGAUUAAAAAUGUUUUGGAUAAAAUUCAACAAGAUUUUCAAGUUUACAAAGGUGAGGAUUUAGCAGUGCUUCACGAAUAUUCGAAAAAAGCUCAAAAAUUCAACAAGUUUUAUACAGUCUACAUGUUCAUGGUGGUUGGUGCAUACAGUAUGCUACCUUUUACUCUUUAUAUGCUGGACACUUUUGUACCUUUGAAUUACUCUCGAUUGCCAUACAAACCUAGGCUUGUCAAAUAUUGUAUCACUACUUUUGAUGACAAUAUAUUGUUCAUCAUUAUCCAUGGGGGUAUUGCUGAUAUGAUGGCAAUCGUGUUUGUUAUAGGUUUUGAUACUUUAUUCUUAAGUUUUGCGUAUCAUAUAUGCGCACUUUUUGUAAUCGUGACCCACAAAAUUCGUGACGCCGUUAAUGAUGAAAUCGAUAGUCAAAAUAGUACAAUAAACGAAUGUUCAAAUUUAAGAGAAGACAUUUCCUACCGAAAUUUCGUAAAAACUAUUACUUUGCAUAAAUACGUAUUAACAUUCAUAGAUACAAUUGAAACGGCAUUUUCACCUCUCAAUGUCAUCUCUAUUGCAUUAGCGAUGGUACCUUUAACUAUAACAGGAUUCGAAGUUGUGAUGAAUAAAGGAAAUCCUGGGGAAAUGUUAAGAUACGCGAUGUACGCAAUCGCCGAAAUGAUCCAUCUUUUUUACUACAAUUGGCCUGGACAAAAGAUCAGAGAUCAUAGUAUGCUUAUUUACGAGGCUUGCUAUGCUACCAAUUGGUACAGGAAGGAUUUCUCUGUAAGAAGUAAAAAAAUAAUGAAUCUCAUGAUGAUCAGAAGUCAGAAACCAUCCUAUUUGACGGCGGGUAAAAUUUACGUUCUUGGUUUGGAAAACUUUGCUGCGGUAAUGCGAGUGUCGAUGUCUUAUUUUACUGUAUUGUCAUCUGUUACGUAGUUUCGAAAGAAAUCGAAGCGCCUGAAUUUUUUUUAACCAUCGGAACAAUCUAUUAUAUAUUUUCCAAAAUACGAAAGUUAUUGCGUGUUUUUUACUUAAAACAAUAAAUAAUCGUUGGCAUAAAUUAUUUUCGUUUCUUUCGGGAGAACAUUUAGAAAACAAAUAAUUUGGCCUCUAAACAGAAAAAUUAAUUUUUUUCAUAAAAUAAUUCAAACGCGACAUCGUAUACGUGUACUUUCUACUAUUGUUCCACGUCAGCGGAAGAUGAUGCAGAAAAUUCCCUCACUGCCUAUUACCGUAAUUCUAUAAACGUAUCGCGGAAAUAACAUUUUUUCUUUCUUUGCUUACACACACGAUCAAACGGCUAUUACGUAAACACAUGAAAAUAAAAAGAACACCCCACAAGAGCAGAGCAUAUCGCGGAUAUACAUUAAGUACACUGCACUUUUCUCGUGCCGAGAGAAAAAAAAUUUCUCGAAAUAAACGUGUAAUUUACGGUGAUAUAGGGCAUUUAGCCUUAAGCACGCGAUCUACAGCGGUUACCGAGAGGCGCGGGGGUGGGCGAGCUAUAUCCGCGUAAAUACUUUGUAUAUGCAGCCUAAAGCGGAAUAUGCACCGGAUAUACAUUGUUGUUUGAUCAACUAUGCAAAUCGUUCGAUGUAUUUUCUUAGUUUAUUUUCUGCGUUUGUUUUCCGUAUCGAUGAUGUACGUGGCGCUUAUUUUCUUUUUCUUUCAUCCACGAGGGUGCAUUUUUUAUCAGGUUCGUAUUAGCUGCAGAAGGAACAACAAAGCAAGUAUAUUUUGAUUUAAGUGGGCGAGGUAAGAAGCACUCUGCGGGGUACGUAAGAUAAUGGGAUCAAAUUCUUCGCAAGAAACGUUUGCUAUUUCGAUACAGGCCUACGUGUACUUACGAAAACUUCCAGAAUGGACGAUUAGCGAAGCAUCGACUCAUCGCUCGAAAUCAUCUCCAGCUUUAUAAAUUCCACGAAAUUAGUCAGACACCUGCUCGUCACCCGCUAAAUUGCAUUGCGAGAAUAUAAGCAUCACAUAAUGGGAGCCGGCAUUAUCUCGCAUUAUUAUUAUAUCACACGGUUAUUUGCCUAUGAGAUUUUAAAAACGCCGAUGACAUAGGCUCAUUUGCACUACAAUGUCCCAAGAAAAAUUCAUUGCGUUGAGCUCAUGGAAAAGCUGCAGUAUACCGAAGAUAUAGCUAGUAAUUGCUUCCGAGUUAUGGCCAAUUAUCUGCGUCUUCGUGCUCGUAUUUUGCAAGAAGACGCCGCGCGUUUAUGUCAGGUUUCUAUUUGUCAAUCGUCGUUAAACGAAACGUGUUACAACCGUCCAGCCGCACUUACUAAGUAGAUGUGUCUUUUUUUCGAAUCCGAUUGAAGGAUUUCAUUGCGCGGCUGUUUAAUAUAAUUCGUUUUAAAAAAUAUACAGGCAUGGGUGAAUAUCACUAAAAAGUGUAAAUAUUCGAAUCGCGUAAACCAUCUUACACAACCACAUAAACCACCCAAAUUAACACCAGGGACCAUAACCAUCACUUAACGACAGCUCGGAACGAAGUUAGCCUCAAUGCAUGUGCUCGAAAACAAUGCGCGAAUUCGACGCUCUGUUAAAGUAUACACUACUGACGUAGCUGAGAAACCGUAAAAAGCAGAAACGGGAGUAGCUUCCGUGUCGUUAAAUUUUUCCAUUGUGUUGCUUUAUUGUCUUCGUUUCAUGCUGCGAUACGCCACCAGAAUUUUCCAGCCACCUUCGCACUGCAUACGAUAAACCGAAGAAGCGACAAGACUUUGUUUCAUCUAUGUAGGUAUAUUCAUUUUGCGAGCGGGCGAAAAUUAUCCCGCGGCGGGCGUCCGAGACUCUACAAUUAUAGGCGAGGAGUAUAGAUCGUCGCGCGAUUGUUCUUAGUGCCAGAGGCUGUUACAUGGAAAAUUGAGAGCUUGGGACUCUUAUCAUCUGGUGGUGUGUAGUUGCUUCCGCGAAAGAGGCGAUCCAAUUUUUCCGAUAGCUGCGGCGAAUUCUUUAAGAUGCAAGCGACGCAAUUGUUUAGAGGAAAUAUUUGUCGGUAUCUUCGUUUGAUACAUCAGUUUGAUGUUUUCAUUAGAAACGACCGACUCUGGGAACAUCGUUUGAACAGAAUUUGUAUAAUAAGCUUCCGGCAAUGUAGUUUGAAAGCAUUUGUCAUUUAAUUGUUACCCAUCAUUCUGGAUGAUAACGAAUUUUCAGAAUUUCCCCACCUUGUGUAGGAUUGUUCAUUUCGUAAUACGAUGUAAAGAGAGAUUUGGGAAUUCCGAAUGAUGGAUCUACGAUCAAUUAAUGAUGUGAUGGUUAUCUGAAGUAUCCGAAACCAGACUCUAAUAGAUGUAAUUGUGAGACUUUUGUCUUCAAGAAAAUAUGUAUCAUAACUUAAAAUAAACUUAGACGUACGAUUAAAACCCACCCGAACAAUAGACGAACAAUAAUAGCACAAUCUCGCACUAAUGGCUCUAAAAACACCCUGUUAAACUUCGCUAACGUAAUGCAAACUUCCGAGGUGACUCCGAGGAAAACAAUGGAAAUUAAUCCGUACCUCCUUACCAAUUUACCUCAUCGUUGACGCAAAGGCAAUUGUCAAUCAUUGAGCGUAAUCGAUGUUUAUUUGCUCACUCACUCAUCACAUGCAUGCUUACGAUACCCAGAGCACUCGCGGAGAGAGAUAGAAUUGUCGUGUACGUUCGCGACUCGAUUCGAAAACAAGCAAAAAUACCAAAGGAGAUGCGCAAGUCAGCCCUUAUCCUGUUUCUUUUUUGUGUAUUUUUAAACGUUCAAACGAAUACUGAUGUAAAAUGUAUUGUCUUGUUCAAGCGUAAGAAGAGGAAAGAAAGACUCACGUGGAUUUGGUUGGCUCGACUGCUGCUGAUGCUGCGAAGACGUCUGGUGAUUUGGCUGCUCAUUUUCGGGAUUGGUCUCAGGCUGGUGCUCGGUGUUCUCUUCCUGAUGAACGGGGUACUCCUCUGGAAACACCGUGGAUACGUUCAUGCUAUUGUGCAGUGUCUAUAGGAAAAAAGAAAGCAGUUGAUGAAUCAAUAUCGUACACUUUGCAUUUCAAUAUCACUAUAUACAGAAGAACAACGCUAUUAUGACUAUUUUGUUCAAGUUAUAUUGCACAAGCGAUUGUUCAAAGCACCAAUAGUUACAUAAUUCGGCAAUUCAAAAUUUCCCACGCUUUUUCACACUCCUAAUCGUGAACGUAAAUCGUUACGUGAACAGCGUUGCAAAUCGUUUCUCGGUACACCACCAAGCGCUAACUCUCAAAUCAUUAAUCACUUAUGUUGUGCAUCAAAAUACAGUCAAAAAUUAACGUUCACCAAUUUCAGAGUGCAUGGCUUAAACCAACUGAGGUGUCCACACGUCACAAUAAAUAUAAAGUGCGCUUCUGGCGAAUAAUGCAAUAGACACAUGCACGACAAACGUAUUUUCAGCGACGAUUAAGAAAUCCUAUGGCGCAGCUGUAAUACGAAAGCCGGUGAUUACUGUGACUCAUGGAGAAAGCAGAUCAAUGAUAAAUCCAGUGUAGAAGUGGUGACGACAAAGCUAUGGAGAUAAAAAUAAACAAGCACAUGCAGCGAGUUGAUCGCGCUAUAA